rnacentral:sRNA from 1 species
AAAAGUUAAUAUUUUCUUGAACUUUUAGGUAUAAUCCUGAUUUUGUGAGUUGGUUCGGAUAAGAUAAGCAGAACUGAGAGGAGUUGAAUCAGGCAAUGAUUUUGGCGGUGCAUGAAGAGAAGAAGCAAUUGCUAUCUUGUUUUAAUUUUGAAGACAUGCAUGGGACAGAGGCAUUACUAGGAGCAGGAGGGUAAGAGACCUAAUACCCUAUACCCUACAAGUCUAGAUAGAAUUGGAUCUCUCUGGUUCAGCUUGUGGCACUUGCUGGUUGGUACCAUUUUUUUUUUCUUCAAUAAAUAAUAAUAGUUCUACUAUACUGCAUUGGUUUUAUCUUGUUUUACUGAAGAAAGAAAUGAAGAGUGUCCAACAUUUCUGAUGCAAUGAAGAAGUGAAGCUGCCACACCUGGAAUCUGAUCAGGAACAGAAAGGAACAUCCCAACCCUUCUCCUGCUUCUUCAGUCACAGAUAAUAAAUGCAAGAGAAAGGUGCAGUUUGAAAGAGUCUUAUAAGUAUGAGAUGAGAUGCAUGUUUUUGUGUUGUUUGAAAUAGUUUGGUAUGUGAGGGUUGAAAAAGAGAUGGAUGGUUAUUAAUUUGGGGUGAGUGAUGUGUGUGUUUAAUGGUUGGCUGGUAGAGAGAGAUGUAAUAAUAAUAAAAAUAAUAAUAAGAAGAAGGAGAUGGUUGGAAAAAUAAAAGGUUGUGUUGUGUUGUUAAAAGUGAAUAUGCCUUUAUUGCAAAGGAGUGAGGGUUAUUGAUUAGUGGUUGGUUAGGUCUUGGGGUGGAGCAGGUGUUUUAAUUGGUUUGGGCCAUGGGUGGGCCAUGGAUGGGCCUUAGGGUACCAAACCCUGAAAAGGACGGAAAGAGAGAGAGAGAGAUGCAGGAGGAGAUAGCACCGUGCGCAAAAUAGCAAAAAUGUAGCGGGUAGGAAAAGUUCACGAAGUUUGGUGAGAUGUCUAUGAUUAAAUAAUGAGAUAGGCACAUGAAGAAGCAGCACAAAAAUCCAUGUCAUAAAUAAAUAAAUAAAAAGAUAUUAUUGCACUGUGUGUGGUGUGGAUGAUGACCAUGGAUUGAUGGAUGGGCAUGUUGUUAGGUAGUGGUUGCUUGGAUUUAGGUGAUGAUGAUCAUUAUUAUUUUUAUUAUUAUUAUUAUUAUUAUUAUUAUGGAAAGUCAUGUAUCUCAUGCCCAUGUACAUACAUCCAGUCUUUUCUGAGUCAACCAUCUAUCCCUUUCGGAAACUCAUCUCUUUUAUUUAUUUAUUUAUUUUAAUAAACUGAAAUUAUUUUCUUCUAUGCUCUGUUUCUUUGUAAACCCAAAGUCAGUG